rnacentral:rRNA from 1 species
ACCCGCUGAAUUUAAGCAUAUUAGUAAGCGGAGGAAAAGAAAACAACUGUGAUUCCCCCAGUAACUGCGAGUGAAGCGGGAAGAGCCCAACGUUGAAAUCUCUCUAGGCCUUGACUAGAGCGAGUUGUAACGUAUAGAUUGCCUCUUGAGUAUGGAAAAGCCCCCCAAGUUCUCUGGAUUGAGACGCCAUAGAGGGUGACAGCCCCGUAGUUGGGAGCUUGACUGUACAUAAAAAGGUAACUCUAAGAGUCGGGUUGUUUGGGAUUGCAACCUAAAGCAGGUGGUAAACUUCACCUAAGGCUAAAUAUAGGCACGAAACCGAUAGCGAACAAGUACCGUGAGGGAAAGUUGAAAAGAACUCUGAAAAGAGAGUUAAAAGUACGUGAAACCGUUAACGGGGAAGCGGAAGGCUGUGUCGUGAUUUGUCUACCCUGCUAUGCCUAGCACUGUCCCGGUGAUAGUGAUAAGUGUAGUUUAUAGUCGGCAAAUGCGUCUGACCUACUGGAAAGUGCCGGGGCAGUUCUAUGUUAGUAUUGUCGCUGUUGUUUUCCUGUGUAAAGUCGCAGCAAAAUAUCGGGCAAUAUGCUUGAUCGGUUUUCAACUGCGUGCUUUCUAGUAUGAGAUUUGAUGAAAGGCGUCAGAGUCGAGUUUUUCCUGACGGCAUUGGCAUACGCCCAACUGCUUGGCACACUGUUGUAGUAUGUCGAGUUGUUGGCGUGUGUCAGUGCGUCUGAUGCCAGAGUCAGGCGAGAUACCAAACUUUCCGACCCGUCUUGAAACACGGACCAAGGAGGCUGAAGCUAGAGCAAGUCAAAAAGUGGAAACUUUAUGGCGCAGUUAAAGCAAACAAUGGGAUCCUCCUUUCUGCGUAGCAAUACGCUGAAACAAGGCGCACCAUUAACCGGUUGCUCUUUUGAACAACUGAGUUAGAGCUCUAGCUGCAGGACCCGAAAGAUGGUGAACUAUGCAAGAACAGGAUGAAGCCAGAGGAAACUCUGGUGAAAGUCCAUACGCGAUACUAACGUGCAAAUUGUUCGCAUGAUUUUUGUAUAGGGGCGAUAGACUAAUCGAACCAUCUAGUAGCUGGUUCCCUCCGAAAUUUCCCUCAGGAUCGCCGAGACAUGAGUACAGCUUCAUCGGGUAGAGCCAAUGAUUAGAGGAAUCGGGGAAAGAUUACACUCGACCUAUUCUCAAACUAUCAACCGGUGAAAGACUUGGUUUCUUGAAUUUUUCCUGAAUCAAGUCGCAGUGUCACACUGAGUGUGUGUGUCUCGAGUGGGCCAUUUUUGGUAAGCAGAACUGGCGAUGCGGGAUGAA